rnacentral:rRNA from 1 species
GACGUAGGAGGCGAGCGUUGUCCGGAUUCAUUGGGCGUAAAGAGCACGCAGGCGGUUUGGCAAGUCGGACGUGAAAAUCCGGGGCUCAACCCCGGACCUGCAUCCGAAACUGCCCGACUAGAGGUAGGUAGGGGAGAUCGGAAUUCCUGGUGUAGCGGUGAAAUGCGCAGAUAUCAGGAGGAACACCGGUGGUGAAGGCGGGUCUCUGGGCCGUAACUGACGCUGAGGAGCGAAAGCGUGGGGAGCGAACAGG